rnacentral:rRNA from 1 species
UACGCAGGGGGCUAGCGUUGUUCGGAAUUACUGGGCGUAAAGCGCACGUAGGCGGACUUGUAAGUCAGGGGUGAAAUCCCGGGGCUCAACCCCGGAACUGCCUUUGAUACUGCGAGUCUUGAGGGCGAGAGAGGUGAGUGGAAUUCCGAGUGUAGAGGUGAAAUUCGUAGAUAUUCGGAGGAACACCAGUGGCGAAGGCGGCUCACUGGCUAGAUACUGACGCUGAGGUGCGAAAGCGUGGGGAGCAAACAGG